UCCGCAGUAUACCGUGUGUCUA
rnacentral:siRNA from 1 species